rnacentral:tRNA from 1 species
ACUAUUUUGGCAGAUUAGUGCGGUAAAUUUAGAAUUUAUUUAUGUAAUAUAGUUUACAGGUAGUA